rnacentral:rRNA from 1 species
UACGUAGGGUGCAAGCGUUAACCGGAAUUACUGGGCGUAAAGCGUGCGCAGGCGGUUUUGUAAGUCAGAUGUGAAAUCCCCGGGCUUAACCUGGGAACUGCGUUUGAAACUACAAGGCUAGAGUGUGGCCGAGGGGGGUGGAAUUCCACGUGUAGCAGUGAAAUGCGUAGAGAUGUGGAGGAACACCGAUGGCGAAGGCAGCCCCCUGGGUUAACACUGACGCUCAGGCACGAAAGCGUGGGGAGCAAACAGG